rnacentral:rRNA from 1 species
UACGGGGGAGCAAGCGUUGUUCGGAUUUACUGGGCGUAAAGGGCGCGUAGGCGGUCGUGACAAGUCACUUGUGAAAUCUCCGGCUUAACUCGGAACGGUCAAGUGAUACUGUCGGACUAGAGUACGAGAAGGGGACAACUGGAAUUCUCGGUGUAGCGGUGAAAUGGCGUACGAUAUCGAAGAGGAACACCUGCGGCGAAGGCGGGUUGCUGG